UUUGGAAGAAAAUUGAUCCUGGCUCAGGACGAACGCUGGCGGCGUGCCUAAUACAUGCAAGUCGAGCGAACAGAAAAGGAGCUUGCUCCUUUGACGUUAGCGGCGGACGGGUGAGUAACACGUGGGCAACCUACCCUAUAGUUUGGGAUAACUCCGGGAAACCGGGGCUAAUACCGAAUAAUCUCUUUUGCUUCAUGGUGAAAGACUGAAAGACGGUUUCGGCUGUCGCUAUAGGAUGGGCCCGCGGCGCAUUAGCUAGUUGGUGAGGUAACGGCUCACCAAGGCGACGAUGCGUAGCCGACCUGAGAGGGUGAUCGGCCACACUGGGACUGAGACACGGCCCAGACUCCUACGGGAGGCAGCAGUAGGGAAUCUUCCACAAUGGGCGAAAGCCUGAUGGAGCAACGCCGCGUGAGUGAAGAAGGUUUUCGGAUCGUAAAACUCUGUUGUAAGGGAAGAACAAGUACAGUAGUAACUGGCUGUACCUUGCGGGGUAGCCUUAU
rnacentral:rRNA from 1 species